UCGCGACAUCGUAACGUGCCACGAUACACGGCACGACGUCGCGUCGUAGAAACUCACGAUGCGUUCCUGUGUCAGUGCCACAGUUAUUCGAAGAUGACU